CCUACGGGUGGCAGCAGUGAGGAAUAUUGGUCAAUGGCCGAGAGGCUGAACCAGCCAAGUAGCGUGAAGGAUGACUGCCCUAUGGGUUGUAAACUUCUUUUAUAUGGGAAUAAAAUGUUCCACGUGUGGGAUUUUGUAUGUACCUUAUGAAUAAGGAUCGGCUAACUCCGUGCCAGCAGCCGCGGUAAUACGGAGGAUCCGAGCGUUAUCCGGAUUUAUUGGGUUUAAAGGGAGCGUAGGUGGAUAGUUAAGUCAGUUGUGAAAGUUUGCGGCUCAACCGUAGAAUUGCCGUUGAAACUGGCAGUCGUGAGUACAGUAGAGGUGGGCGGAAUGCGUGGUGUAGCGGUGAAAUGCUUAGAUAUCACGAAGAACUCCGAUUGCGAAGGCAGCUCACUGGACUGCAACUGACACUGAGGCUCGAAAGUGUGGGUAUCGAACAGGAUUAGAUACCCCGGUAGUC
rnacentral:rRNA from 1 species